rnacentral:rRNA from 1 species
CAUAGGUUAAUGAGGCGAACCGGGGGAACUGAAACAUCUAAGUACCCCGAGGAAAAGAAAUCAACCGAGAUUCCCCCAGUAGCGGCGAGCGAACGGGGAGGAGCCCAGAGCCUGAAUCAGUGUGUGUGUUAGUGGAAGCGUCUGGAAAGGCGCGCGAUACAGGGUGACAGCCCCGUACACAAAAAUGCACAUGCUGUGAGCUCGAUGAGUAGGGCGGGACACGUGGUAUCCUGUCUGAAUAUGGGGGGACCAUCCUCCAAGGCUAAAUACUCCUGACUGACCGAUAGUGAACCAGUACCGUGAGGGAAAGGCGAAAAGAACCCCGGCGAGGGGAGUGAAAAAGAACCUGAAACCGUGUACGUACAAGCAGUGGGAGCCUCUUAAUGGGGUGACUGCGUACCUUUUGUAUAAUGGGUCAGCGACUUAUAUUCUGUAGCAAGGUUAACCGAAUAGGGGAGCCGAAGGGAAACCGAGUCUUAACUGGGCGUUAAGUUGCAGGGUAUAGACCCGAAACCCGGUGAUCUAGCCAUGGGCAGGUUGAAGGUUGGGUAACACUAACUGGAGGACCGAACCGACUAAUGUUGAAAAAUUAGCGGAUGACUUGUGGCUGGGGGUGAAAGGCCAAUCAAACCGGGAGAUAGCUGGUUCUCCCCGAAAGCUAUUUAGGUAGCGCCUCGUGAAUUCAUCUCCGGGGGUAGAGCACUGUUUCGGCAAGGGGGUCAUCCCGACUUACCAACCCGAUGCAAACUGCGAAUACCGGAGAAUGUUAUCACGGGAGACACACGGCGGGUGCUAACGUCCGUCGUGAAGAGGGAAACAACCCAGACCGCCAGCUAAGGUCCCAAAGUCAUGGUUAAGUGGGAAACGAUGUGGGAAGGCCCAGACAGCCAGGAUGUUGGCUUAGAAGCAGCCAUCAUUUAAAGAAAGCGUAAUAGCUCACUGGUCGAGUCGGCCUGCGCGGAAGAUGUAACGGGGCUAAACCAUGCACCGAAGCUGCGGCAGCGACACUAUGUGUUGUUGGGUAGGGGAGCGUUCUGUAAGCCUGUGAAGGUGGCCUGUGAGGGUUGCUGGAGGUAUCAGAAGUGCGAAUGCUGACAUAAGUAACGAUAAAGCGGGUGAAAAGCCCGCUCGCCGGAAGACCAAGGGUUCCUGUCCAACGUUAAUCGGGGCAGGGUGAGUCGACCCCUAAGGCGAGGCCGAAAGGCGUAGUCGAUGGGAAACAGGUUAAUAUUCCUGUACUUGGUGUUACUGCGAAGGGGGGACGGAGAAGGCUAUGUUGGCCGGGCGACGGUUGUCCCGGUUUAAGCGUGUAGGCUGGUUUUCCAGGCAAAUCCGGAAAACCAAGGCUGAGGCGUGAUGACGAGGCACUACGGUGCUGAAGUGACAAAUGCCCUGCUUCCAGGAAAAGCCUCUAAGCAUCAGGUAACAUCAAAUCGUACCCCAAACCGACACAGGUGGUCAGGUA